rnacentral:rRNA from 1 species
UACAGAGGGUGCAAGCGUUGUUCGGAAUUAUUGGGCGUAAAGGGCGCGUAGGCGGUUCGGCAAGUCUCUAGUGAAAUCUCUGGGCUCAACUCAGAGUCUGCUGGGGAAACUGCCGGGCUUGAGUGUGGGAGAGGAGAGUGGAAUUCCUGGUGUAGCGGUGAAAUGCGCAGAUAUCAGGAGGAACACCGGUGGCGAAGGCGGGUCUCUGGGCCGUAACUGACGCUGAGGAGCGAAAGCGUGGGGAGCGAACAGG